rnacentral:rRNA from 1 species
GGCCGCGGGAAUUCGAUUCAGGCUUAACACAUGCAAGUCGAACGGGAUCCAUCAAGCUUGCUUGGUGGUGAGAGUGGCGAACGGGUGAGUAAUGCGUGACCGACCUGCCCCAUACACCGGAAUAGCUCCUGGAAACGGGUGGUAAUGCCGGAUGUUCCAGUUGAUCGCAUGGUCUUCUGGGAAAGCUUUCGCGGUAUGGGAUGGGGUCGCGUCCUAUCAGCUUGACGGCGGGGUAACGCCCCACCGUGGCUUUGACGGGUAGCCGGCCUGAGAGGGCGACCGGCCACAUUGGGACUGAGAUACGGCCCAGACUCCUACGGGAGGCAGCAGUGGGGAAUAUUGCACAAUGAAGGCAAGCCUGAUGCAGCGACGCCGCGUGAGGGA